GGAGAGCAAGAAGUACCAGACAGAUUUGUGCAGAAUUUGAGACAUACAUACCAUAGGCCCAUUAGAAUCAACAAUCUUUGCCAAAAUGGAUCCGCACUGCAAAACUUAUGAAGAUGUUUGCAUACUGAAGGAGAGUCCUUGGACAAAUACUGAAACCCUCUUGGUGCCCACUACACAGCUCAAGAUCCUGGGAGUGUGCAGACUCUUGUGGUACUGUCAGCAUUGUCAGGGGUCCAGUUCCAGCUGAGCAACUGCGAGAUGAAUGAGAAUGAUAACAGACCAAUCUCUUCAGGAGUAUAAAAGUGUCAGAAUGUGAAGAACAGAAGAAAAAGUCCUUUCGUUGAUCACUACACACAGUGUGCUUUGGACGGGAGUGGUGUUUUGGAAACUCCACGGUGAACGAGGGAAGUUUCAAGUGCAUGAGUAUGCUGGUAACA